GAAGCACUGGGUUAAAUGCAGAGGACAAAUUUCACCACACCCAGAUGUGUGUGUGACGAUCAUUGGGAAUUUAACUUUUAACUCAUCAUUCUGAUGUAUUGGUACAAUAUGACAUGUGUGUGUUAUGAUUCAUAAUUUUUCAUGUCAUGACGUCUGCCACACCGUGGUCACGUGACGCGGACGUGACGUUGAAGGGGGGAUCUUGCCACUGAGCUGGUCAUUAAAUAGGAAGACUUUUUUAAUGUAUUUAAAUCUAUUUUGAGUUUGCGCCAUUAUUUCAACGCAUAACAACUGUAAGUCUACUAAACAAAACAGCGGUUGCUAUAGGAUGUCAGCCAUGUUGUGGUCACAUGACGCGGACAUGAUGUCGAUGGGCGGAGCUUCCGCCAAAAUUCAAAUCCGAGCGCGCGGCUCGCGACAGGAAGACGGCAAUGCCGAGCAACGAGACACAGCGACGACUAACAAGAGAAAUAUUUUUAUUUUCUGCUUGCAACUGUACCGUCCAGAGCGCACACGAUAAUAUUACGCCGCAGUCAUGUGACGCGGACGUGACGUCGGUGGGUGGAGCUUCCGCCAAAAUUCAAAUCCGAGGACGCGGCUUGCAACUGGACGUAGGAAGGCGGCAAUGCCGAGAAACGCGACACAGCGACGACUAACAAGAGAAAUAUUUUUAUUUCCUGCUUGCAACUGGACCGUCUAGAGCGUACACGGUUCAACGUUGUUUGCUGUAUGUUUUCCACUGUAAGAAGAAGAAGAAUGUAAGAAGAAUGACUAUACAAAUCAAUUGGAGGCUUGCUUCAUUGAUCACAACCGUUCCACGCUGUUCGUUGCCAGUAUGUUUGAAGGAUACAAAGUACAACGUUUGCACGUUGGCGAAGACGUCUCCGGUGAGUCCUUCCUUCCUUUUUAUUCAUGGGAAAGUCACAGACAACAAUAGCUAAAGUAACACAUUGUUAGAGGUAACUACAUUUGUCUUAAAUUGGAUAGAUUACUUGUUCCCACACCUUUUCGAACAAGUAAACUGGCCAUUUUGUGCAGGAGAUUUUCUGUUUAUACCUAGUAUUUAUACAGUCAUCAUUUAAAUGAACAAAUAAGAUUCAUUCAUUCACUCACUCACUCACUCACUCACUCACUCACUCACUCACUCACUCACUCACUCACUCACUCACUCACUCACUCACUCACUCACUCACUCACUCACUCACUCACUCACUCACUCACUCACUCACUCACUCAUUCAUUCAAAAUAUCCAAAGUUGUGUGUGCUAUGUGUAGAUGAGAAUAGAUCUCAUGUUACUCCAUUCGCUCAUACGACCAACUUCUAUCAAUUUAUCCAAGCGUUUAAUACGUCCUAUCAGGUCUCAAGUCAAGGCUUGGCACUGUGCUUUGUUGAAAUUUGCAAUUGCUGCAAAUCCAAUUUUGCCUGGGAACAAAAAUAGAUUAAACAAACUAAAUAAGUCUUAUUCCUUCCCAUUAAAUAAAUGAAAUAAGUCUCUCUUCUGCACAGUCCUUUUCAAACAAUUAAACUGGCCAUCCUGUGCAGUAGUUUUUGUGUUCACACCUAGUAUUUAUCAGAAAUCACAUUUGAAAUGACUUCAUUCAACCAUUUUGGAAAUUUGGAAUCCCAGCAAAUCCAUUCUUCCCAUUAAAUAAAGACGUCUUCUUCCCUUUAAAUAAAUGAAAUAAGUCUUACUUCCCACUGCUUUUCAAACAAGUAAAGUGCGAGAGGCUAGGUGCUAAGAGGCUAGGUGCUAAGAGGCUAGGUGCUAAGAGGCUAGGUGCUAAGAGGCUAGGUGCUAAGAGGCUAGGUGCUAAGAGGCUAGGUGCUAAGAGGCUAGGUGCUAAGGUCUGAUGUGGUUAGGUGCUAUAUAUAUAUAUAUAUAUUUAGGUCUAUAUAUCAACCUAUUUUAGAUCUAAAAAUCAACCUAUUUUAGACGUCUAUUUCUGGUCUAUAA